rnacentral:rRNA from 1 species
GAUGAACGCUAGCUACAGGCUUAACACAUGCAAGUCGCGGGGCAGCAUGGGGGUUGCUUGCAACCCCUGAUGGCGACCGGCGCACGGGUGAGUAACGCGUAUCCAACCUGCCCUUCACCACGGGAUAACCCGGCGAAAGUCGGACUAAUACCGUAUGUUGUCCAUUGACGGCAUCCGAUUUGGACGAAAGGCUUAGCGGUGAGGGAUGGGGAUGCGUCCGAUUAGCUUGACGGCGGGGUAACGGCCCACCGUGGCAACGAUCGGUAGGGGUUCUGAGAGGAAGGUCCCCCACACUGGAACUGAGACACGGUCCAGACUCCUACGGGAGGCAGCAGUGAGGAAUAUUGGUCAAUGGGCGGAAGCCUGAACCAGCCAAGUAGCGUGCAGGAUGACGGCCCUAUGGGUUGUAAACUGCUUUUAUGCGGGGAUAAAGGGACCCACGUGUGGGUUUUUGCAGGUACC